UGGCCUUUUCAGAAAAUGACAAUUCACGGC
rnacentral:piRNA from 1 species